GCGGGUAUAGUUUAGUGGUAAAAGCACUAGCCUUCCAAGCUGCCGAUGCGGGUUCGAUUCCCGCUACCCGCU
rnacentral:tRNA from 8 species